rnacentral:misc_RNA from 1 species
GUAUUGAUUGCGUGUUAUCGCAAAAAUGAGGUCAUUCUACACUUUUUAAAAAGGGGUUUUGUGUGAAAACGCAAGCCCCCCUCCCGGAUCGGUUUGAUCCCAAAGGGUUGCCCACGCGGUGGUGCACAAAAGGGUGAGAUGGAUUUUUAUGUGAGAGGACACACUCUGGCGUGCACGACUCUUGUGGUAAAAGUCAGCGACAGCCCUCGCAUGCCUCACACAUUUUGUACGAUAAUGAUCCUUCCGCAGGUUCACCUACGGAAA